rnacentral:lncRNA from 1 species
ACCACUUGCAAAAUAUAACUCUCCAAACAUUACUAUGGAGUAAACCAAAAAAAAAAAAAAACAGAACAUAUAUAGUUCUCGUAGACACCGAAACUUGAGUUCAAUGAUGAAGUAUCGUAAUUGAGCCCAUCAUCCCUCAAAGAAUUCCAGCAAAACCAAAGUAACAUGCAUACAAACAAGCAAAAUAGAAGGAAUUCAUUCAAACUUGUGCUUUAAAAUUAAGUUCAAUCAAUUGCUAAAAUCUGUAGCCCCUGAAAUAAGAAGAAUAUAGAAGGCUUGUAUGUGAAUACAUGGCAAUAUGACAGCAUAGAAAAUGAAAAAGGCUUGGCUCUUCAACAAAAGAAAUAUGUAGAACUCAGGCGAUCCAUAACACAGCUUAAUCUAACAACAUCUUUUACUAAUAGCCUAAAAAAUUCAUAUGAUGAAUUAAGAAAAUGGAAAUUAGCAAUUUAGCAUACAGUUCAUCAUAAUCAUACAGUUCUUAUUAUGAUACGAUGAAACAUUUAUGUCCAGUCAAACUCUUGAGUGUUGUAAUCUCACAACAGUUGAUGAUUGUUUUAACACUUACCCAAAUUAUAAUGAUUCAAGUAGCUAAAAUUAAAAAAAAUACUUGUAAGCACAAAUUCUUAUUUACUUUACCAAAUAGAAAAUGAAUAACUAAAAGACCGAAAAAAGAAAAUAAUUUCCAAAAAAAAUUAAAACUCCAUGCAAAAAAUCAGCAUGUAUGUGUUUUACUGUGUUUCUCUGUAUUUGAUUUUGAAGUCUUACAAGUUUAGAAGAUUGGAUAAGUUACCAAACCUCUUGAAUUGCAACUAGAGCUUCAGCUUGCUAACGAUUUAUGUCUGGAGCAAAUCGGUAGCUAACAGUCCAAUACCUACAAAAUUUCACAUAGAACAUCAAUAUACUGGAACAACAGUGGUCAGAUAUACCAGGCGCAAGAAAUUUAACAACUGUGCUAAUAUACAAAAUAAUUUACACUUCUAAGCAUUUGACUAGUAUUAAAAUCAAAUUUACACUUCUAAGCAUUUGACUAGUAUUAAAAUCAAUCACACAUUAUUUAGAUAGGCCUGAAAUCUCAAAUUUUGCAAGGCCUGAAGCCACAAUUGUUAUGCCCACAACGCUGAAACCAGAGAAAAACAAAAAGGCAUUGGACUACCAGGUCAUAGAUGACAUUUCAUUAGAAUAUCAUCAAUGACUAGGACAUAGAUGACAUUUCAUUAGAAUACAAACUACUACAGCAGCAAUAAAAUUUUAUCAGUAAAAUUGUUCAGGUUGCCAAAAUGAUUAGGACAUGGUCAAGCAACAUGACCUAGUGCCUCCAUAAUAACAUAAAAGCAGCAGCUCGGCUGGUGCAAUUACAAUAUCCUAUCUUAUCAGUAAUUUCCAUUGCUAUUAAAGUUUCAACCACAAACAAGAUUAGGGGACUGCUAAAUUUUCAAUAUCCUAGUAAAGUAUAUGAGAUCACAUAUGCUAAUUUUCAAUCAAACCCCAGUAUUAGGGGAUUGCUUCAACGAGACAAGGAAUAGGUGAGCAAAUAAUGGAACUAAAAAGUUAAUUCAAACCAUGGUUUCUUUGAAAAUGCAUUAGCACUAAGUUGGAUUGAGAAACAUACUACGUACUUUAGUUUCAAAGGUUAGAGAUUUGUGCUUCGACAAAAAUUGUGAGACAAAAUAAGAGAGAAAGAGAGAGAGAGAGAGGGCUUACAGAUCCAGAGAGAGUGAAGAAAAAACAGUGAAUAUAAAAUAAAAGAAAAAAAAAUCUGGAGAGAGUUACAGAACCAAAAAAGAAAGAUUUAAGUUAAACCAAAAAACAAAGUAUAAAUUUAGAGCUGCAAACAUUAAAGCAGUUUGAGAGCAAAAGAGAGUUAGAAAUUGGUUUACCUUUCAGUUGCAGUAAACUUGGAAACCCACCAAAUGAGAGCAAGCGAAAGAGUGACAGAGAGAAAAAGAAAAGAAAAGGUUGAGAAGGCCAAGCGUAAAUUGUGUUGAAAAGGUUGAGAAGGCCAAGCGAAAGAGUGACAGAGAGACAGAAGGAGUAAAUCUGCAGAAACCGCAAGCUAGAAAGAAGAAACAGAAGACGGAAAGGGGAAGCGUCGAUCGAUCGGGAGGGUAAAACAGGGUAUAAAAGUGAAGCAUGACCUAAAC